rnacentral:rRNA from 1 species
CAUAGGUUAAUGAGGCGAACCGGGGGAACUGAAACAUCUAAGUACCCCGAGGAAAAGAAAUCAACCGAGAUUCCCCCAGUAGCGGCGAGCGAACGGGGAGGAGCCCAGAGCCUGAAUCAGUGUGUGUGUUAGUGGAAGCGUCUGGAAAGGCGCGCGAUACAGGGUGACAGCCCCGUACACAAAAAUGCACAUAUUGUGAGCUCGAUGAGUAGGGCGGGACACGUGGUAUCCUGUCUGAAUAUGGGGGGACCAUCCUCCAAGGCUAAAUACUCCUGACUGACCGAUAGUGAACCAGUACCGUGAGGGAAAGGCGAAAAGAACCCCGGCGAGGGGAGUGAAAAAGAACCUGAAACCGUGUACGUACAAGCAGUGGGAGCCUCUUAAUGGGGUGACUGCGUACCUUUUGUAUAAUGGGUCAGCGACUUAUAUUCUGUAGCAAGGUUAACCGAAUAGGGGAGCCGAAGGGAAACCGAGUCUUAACUGGGCGUUAAGUUGCAGGGUAUAGACCCGAAACCCGGUGAUCUAGCCAUGGGCAGGUUGAAGGUUGGGUAACACUAACUGGAGGACCGAACCGACUAAUGUUGAAAAAUUAGCGGAUGACUUGUGGCUGGGGGUGAAAGGCCAAUCAAACCGGGAGAUAGCUGGUUCUCCCCGAAAGCUAUUUAGGUAGCGCCUCGUGAAUUCAUCUCCGGGGGUAGAGCACUGUUUCGGCAAGGGGGUCAUCCCGACUUACCAACCCGAUGCAAACUGCGAAUACCGGAGAAUGUUAUCACGGGAGACACACGGCGGGUGCUAACGUCCGUCGUGAAGAGGGAAACAACCCAGACCGCCAGCUAAGGUCCCAAAGUCAUGGUUAAGUGGGAAACGAUGUGGGAAGGCCCAGACAGCC